CCUACGGGAGGCAGCAGUGGGGAAUUUUGGACAAUGGGCGAAAGCCUGAUCCAGCCAUUCCGCGUGAGUGAAGAAGGCCUUCGGGUUGUAAAGCUCUUUCGCAAGGGAAGAAAACUUAGUCUCUAACAUAGACUGAGGUUGACGGUACCUUGAUAAGAAGCACCGGCUAACUACGUGCCAGCAGCCGCGGUAAUACGUAGGGUGCGAGCGUUAAUCGGAAUUACUGGGCGUAAAGCGUGCGCAGGCGGUUUUGUAAGUCAGAUGUGAAAUCCCCGAGCUCAACUUGGGAACUGCGUUUGAAACUACAAGACUAGAAUAUGUCAGAGGGGGGUAGAAUUCCACGUGUAGCAGUGAAAUGCGUAGAGAUGUGGAGGAAUACCAAUGGCGAAGGCAGCCCCCUGGGAUAAUAUUGACGCUCAUGCACGAAAGCGUGGGGAGCAAACAGGAUUAGAUACCCUGGUAGUCCACGCCCUAAACGAUGUCUACUAGUUNUUGGUGGAGUAAAAUCCAUGAGUAACGCAGCUAACGCGUGAAGUAGACCGCCUGGGGGAGGUACGGUCGCGAGAGUAAACUACAANAGAAGUUAGACGCGNGAGAGNGACGACGGACGACGACGAGGGAGGAGG
rnacentral:rRNA from 1 species